UACGAAGGGGGCUAGCGUUGCUCGGAAUCACUGGGCGUAAAGCGCACGUAGGCGGAUUGUUAAGUCAGGGGGUGAAAUCCUGGAGCUCACUCCAAAACUGCCUUUGAUACUGGCGAUCUCGAGUCCGGGAGAGGUGAGUGGAACUGCGAGUGUAGAGGUGAAAUUCGUAGAUAUUCGCAAAGAACACCAGUGGCGAAGGCGGCUCACUGGCCCGGUACUGACGCUGAGGUGCGAAAGCGUGGGAGCAACAGG
rnacentral:rRNA from 1 species